GAAGACACUUGCCACAAAUGCGGU
rnacentral:siRNA from 1 species